GACGAACGCUGGCGGCGUGCCUAAUACAUGCAAGUAGAACGCAGUUGCGAACGGGUGAGUAACGCGUAGGUAACUGCCUGGUAGCGGGGGAUGACUAUUGGAGGCGAUAGCUAAUACCGCAUACUCCUAGAUGGACCUGCGUUGUAUUAGCUGGUUGGGGGGGUAACGGCUCACCAAGGCAACGAUACAUAGCCGACCUGAGAGGGUGAUCGGCCACACUGGAACUGAGACACGGCCCAGACUCCUACGGGAGGCAGCAGUAGGGAAUCUUGGGCAAUGGGCGAAAGUCUGACCGAGCAACGCCGCGUGAGUGAAGAAGGUCUUCGGAUCGUAAAGCUCUGUUGUUAGAGAAGCGGUAUCUAACCAGUAAGCCACGGCUAACUACGUGCCAGCAGCCGCGGUAAUAC
rnacentral:rRNA from 1 species